rnacentral:rRNA from 1 species
GAUGAACGCUGACAGAAUGCUUAACACAUGCAAGUCAACUUGAAUUUGGGUUUUUAACUUAGGUUUGGGUGGCGGACGGGUGAGUAACGCGUAAAGAACUUGCCUCACAGCUAGGGACAACAUUUGGAAACGAAUGCUAAUACCUAAUAUUAUGAUAAUAGGGCAUCCUAUAAUUAUGAAAGCUAUAAGCGCUGUGAGAGAGCUUUGCGUCCCAUUAGCUAGUUGGAGAGGUAACGGCUCACCAAGGCGAUGAUGGGUAGCCGGUCUGAGAGGGUGAUCGGCCACAAGGGGACUGAGACACGGCCCUUACUCCUACGGGAGGCAGCAGGGGGGAAGAUUGGACAAUGGACCGAGAGUCUGAUCCAGCAAUUCUGUGUGCACGAUGAAGUUUUUCGGAAUGUAAAGUGCUUUCAGUUGGGAAGAAACAAAUGACGGUACCAACAGAAGAAGUGACGGCUAAAUACGUG